rnacentral:rRNA from 1 species
GAUGACCGCUGGCGGCGUGCCUAAUACAUGCAAGUCGAGCGAACAGACGCGGAGCUUGCUCCUCUGACGUUAGCGGCGGACGGGUGAGUAACACGUGGAUAACCUACCUAUAAGACUGGGAUAACUUCGGGAAACCGGAGCUAAUACCGGAUAAUAUAUUGAACCGCAUGGUUCAAUAGUGAAAGACGGUUUUGCUGUCACUUCUCGAUGGAUCCGCGCCGCAUUAGCUAGUUGGUAAGGUCACGGCUUACCAAGGCAAGCAUGCGUAGCCGACGUGUGAGGGUGAUCGGCCACACUGGAACUGAGACACGGUCCAGACUCCUACGGGAGGCAGCAGUAUGGAAUCGGCCGCAAUGGGCGAAAGCCUGACGGAGCAACGGCGCGUGAGUGAUGAAGGUCUUCGGAUCGUAAAACUCGGUUAUUAGGGAAGAACAAAUGUGUAAGUAACUAUGCACGGCUUGACGGUACCUAAUCAGAAAGCCACGGCUAACUACGUG